UACGGGGGGGGCAAGCGUUGUUCGGAAUUACUGGGCGUAAAGGGCUCGUAGGCGGCCAACUAAGUCGGACGUGAAAUCCCCAGGCUCAACCUGGGAACUGCGUCCGAUACUGGAUGGCUUGAAUCCGGGAGAGGGAUGCAGAAUUCCAGGUGUAGCGGUGAAAUGCGUAGAUAUCAGGAGGAACGCCAAUUGCGAAGGCAGCUCGCUGGGACGUUACUGACGCUGAGACGCGAAAGCGUGGGGAGCAAACAGG
rnacentral:rRNA from 1 species